rnacentral:rRNA from 1 species
UACGGAGGAUCCAAGCGUUAUCCGGAUUUAUUGGGCUUAAAGGGUGCGCAGGCGGCCAGUUAAGUCAGGGGUGAAAGACGGUAGCUCAACCAUCGCAGUGCCUUUGAUACUGAUUGGCUUGAAUGUACUUGAGGUAGGCGGAAUGUGACAAGUAGCGGUGAAAUGCAUAGAUAUGUCACAGAACACCAAUUGCGAAGGCAGCUUACUGAAGUAUGAUUGACGCUGAGGCACGAAAGCGUGGGGAUCAAACAGG